rnacentral:tRNA from 1 species
GUUUUAAUAGUUUAACAAAAAACAUUGGUCUUGUAAACCAAAAUCAAGAAAUUUUCUUUUAAAACU